GAUGAACGCUAGCUACAGGCUUAACACAUGCAAGUCGAGGGGAACGANAUCGAAAGCUUGCUUUUGGUGGGCGUCGACCGGCGCACGGGUGAGUAACGCGUAUCCAACCUGCCCACCACUUGGGGAUAACCUUGCGAAAGUAAGACUAAUACCCAAUGAUAUCCCACGAAGGCAUCCGAAUGGGAUUAAAGGUUACGGUGACGGAUGGGGAUGCGUCUGAUUAGCUUGUUGGCGGGGUAACGGCCCACCAAGGCAACAAUCAGUAGGGGUUCUGAGAGGAAGGUCCCCCACAUUGGAACUGAGACACGGUCCAAACUCCUACGGGAGGCAGCAGUGAGGAAUAUUGGUCAAUGGGCGGAAGCCUGAACCAGCCAAGUAGCGUGCAGGAAGACGGCCCUAUGGGUCGUAAACUGUCUUUUAUAGGGGAAUAAAGUGAGCCACGUGUGGUUUUUGCAUGUACCCUAUGAAUAAGGACCGGCUAAUUCCGUG
rnacentral:rRNA from 1 species